rnacentral:rRNA from 1 species
UACGUAGGGGGCAAGCGUUGUCCGGAAUCAUUGGGCGUAAAGAGCGUGUAGGCGGCCCGAUAAGUCCGCUGUGAAAGUCCAGGGCUCAACCCUGGGAUGCCGGUGGAUACUGUCGGGCUCGAGUCCGGAAGAGGAGUGUGGAAUUCCUGGUGUAGCGGUGAAAUGCGCAGAUAUCAGGAGGAACACCAAUGGCGAAGGCAGCACUCUGGGCCGAUACUGACGCUGAGGAGCGAAAGCGUGGGGAGCAAACAGG